rnacentral:lncRNA from 1 species
UAGUCCGACAUAGUUGGCGUGUUUCAUGUGGACUCUUUUAUAUUUUUGGCAGGGGAAGCCGAAGAAGUACUCGAUCUUGCGAUGUGAGUGCCUGGCAGUGAUAAGGCUGCUGAUUUACAAUGUGAGCUACUAGUGGUACGUCCAAUUUUACAAUUCGAUUUUGUCUUGUAAGCUAGGAUUUUUCCUAAACCUGUAUACAUUAUACGUAAGCACGUGUCAGCGGGAAAAGAAGCCAAUCACUGGCAAUCGGUGUCGCGAGUGUAUUACAACAAAUGACUUUGUUUCCAUUGAAACCCGAUUGAAAAAAAAGAUUAAGCAAAAAAUACUGCUCAUAUAUACAUUAUUUGUUCAUAUGAUGGUUCUUCUGUGCUAAAAAACAUACUUUUUGGUCAUUUCUCACUGCUCAAAGAAAGACAGUAAAAAGGAUCUAAUUUUUUGUUCCUGCUUUUCCUUUUUUUACGUUCUUCCUAAUUUCCCUGACAUAGCUUUAUCAUAUUUCACAUUGCUACUCCAGACAGAAUACAUGUCAAUUUUGCUUGAAUGGUUUUGAGUUUUGACUGAUGGGCAUGCUGGUCCAACCAGCCAGCCAGUAUAGAACUAUUCUAGUCAAAGCCAAGUGAUCUGUUUGUGUAGAAGAUUUUUCUAAUUAGAUGUUGUGUGUGCCAGGCUCGUCAACAUAGUCUACAUGUUUUCAAUGAAAUCAUUAUCAUUAGGCAGAUUACAAUUUUUUUGGAGGAAACGCUCUUGUCUUCUUUGCUCUAAUUUCCUAGUUGUGAAAAUAUAUCUACUACUCCCUCCAUUCCUAAAUAUAAGUCUUUUUAGAGAUUUCAAUAAGGGACUACAUACGAAGCAAAAUUAGUGAAUCUACAUUCUAAAAUAUGUCUAUAUACAUCUGUAUGUUGUAGUUCAUUUGAAACCACUAAAAAAACUUAUAUUUAGGAACGGAGGGAGUAGUUUCUUCAUGUUUAUGAGCAUGCAAUGUUACAAGAUUCAGAGCACAAAAAUUUGUUAUUUUUCUCAGGUAUGAUCAGUUUCACAGUUCAAAAGAGAUCAUUGCAGAUCAUGGGAGCUGCUGGAUUUGUUGUUAGCAUGUUAUGUUUGUAUAUUUUUUUUUUUGCAGGUUAUGUUAUGGCUAUAUUAAGAUGACCGAAUAAUUUUGCUGCAUCUGUAUUAAGUUAUGUCUCGGAUUGCCAUGCUUUAGCUAUUUUAUAGCAAGGUUGUGUGAUGAAUUCUUGCCUGCACAUAAUGUACCUAACGAAAUCUUGUCAAAUCGGUGCAUCAAGUUUUUAAUCAUAGCAGCAGCCUCUUGGUGCACAGCUCGACAAUCUUCUGUUCGGUCGGAGUGGCCGUGGCCAGUGGCAGACGGUACUGUACGGCACAUGACGGCGGACCUUUCCUGUGCGGUGGGUACUGGAUGUGAUCUGGCGCCGUCCGUCAUCCCGACCAAACGGCACGGCCGUGCGCUGUGGGGUCAACACGGUAUUUUCCUGGAGCCUAAUUACUGUCCAUACAACCAUGUGCUGGGAUCCCGAUACAAACGAGCGCACGGAGAUAAAGUGAGCAGGCGAGCUCGUCCUCUCCUACGAAUAUUCG